GCAGAAUAUUGUGCAACAUGGUUAUGGGUACUACAGUGGAUGUGAGUGUGUAGACCUUGUACAAUAGAGCUUAUAGGCUAAUGAGAAGACAGGAAGAAACAACAGGAACACAUAUAGCUGGAAUGCAGAUGGGAUCUGUGCUACUUACGCUAGCCAUGGGAUGAUUAGAACAAGAUAAGAGACAUGAGGAAGACUUCUUCAAGGAGGUGCUCAAGCCAUGUUUUGGAAAAGAGAACUCAAGGUCUGGCAGGGAGAAAGGAGCAAGACUGCCUGGCAGCUCUUUAGAAAGUUGUGUGACGUAUGAACCAGUUCUUCCCUAUAUGAGAGUGUACCGUACAUCGCAGGCUGUCCAGCAUCGACCCCACUGAUGGAUGCUAGUAGUCCUCCCCGCCAGCACUCAACAUUGUGACAGUCAAAAACAUCCUCUCUACAUUUUCAAUGCCCCUGUUGGGGUAGCAGGACUCCCACUGAGAGACCCCAGUAGAGAUGGUCCCCAAGCAUGCUAACCAUGAAGCAGUGAUAUCGCACAGCACCUGCUUCCAGCAGCCCGGAGCCAAGGGGCAAAAUGGAAAGAGUCAGCAUUUCUCUUUUAGGUCCUCUUCUCCCUGAAGGCUGUCACAGUUCCUGUGCAGAGAGAGAGGGCACUGCAGCACCCAGGCGCUGACUGCCUUUUGUCAGUCUCAUUUGCAGGCCCCCAGCUGGAGAACCCAGGAGGAAGAGGAAAAAAGUUUUUUCCUCCUCUACACUCCCCAUGCAUGACUAAAGAGUAGGAGGAGUCAGCAAGGCAGACAUAUAUAGUACCCAGGAGGUGGACAAACAACUGCCUUGGUGGAAACUCUGUCCUUUCUGGACUUAUCCUGGUGCCACUGAGACUGUGCAGGUCCCACACUUACAGGGAAAGCAUCACCCGAAAGUGAGAAUGCCUAGAGGCAGGAAUCAUGGAGGCUUCCUUAACCGUCUGUCUGCAACAGCAGGUGCUAGAGAUGACACUGCAGAGUAGAGAACAAAGGAAUCUUAGUAAUUGUUCAAUCCAAUCUCCACACUUUAAAGAUGAAGAAACUGGUAUUGAGAAAAAUACACAGCUUAUCCAAGGUUGCACUGCUGGUUGGUAGCUGAGAUGAAUUUAGAACCCACAUCUGAUGACUACACCAUAUUGCUCCCAGUUUUCCUGUCUGUUCCACAUGUAAAAGUCUGACUCUUCACUUCUCCUUUGAGUAUAUAGACUUUUAACAUUUUUGUAUGUCAAGAUGGACUUUUCCUCAUACCCAGCCCCUGCCUUUUCUCCUCCCUUCAUACCUUGCAGGAUCUUUAACAGAAUUUAAAAGGAGUUUUUUGUUUUGUUUUGAUGUAUCUAAUAAAAGUCAAGGGAGGGAGAGGGCCAGUAUAAGCAAGAGUACAGUUUCCUAGUUUGUAGAUGCGGUAGUCUGAGGAAUCAGAAACACACAAAGGUUUGGAGAACUGGUACAUGCUCCCAGGUGGGAAGCCAGGACUCUUGGUAGGAUCUUGAGGACAAGGCAAAGGACAAUAAGAGAGCGAGGGGAUCCUAGAGGUGGAAUCAAGGAAGAGAAACUAGAGAGAGAAAAAGGAACUGGCUAUCCAUCCAUGAUGGAUCCUGUGUGGACUGAUGGGUGGCUUGGCAUCAUCCUUUAGUAGACUUCAUGUGGUUGAAUAAUUGGCCAAUGGAAGGAAUUUCUUUUUUGGUAACAGACUCUGUGUGUACAGUUAUGGGUCUUAAUUUAUAAUAAAAGGUUACAUUGAAAAUUGAGCAUAUUGGCAACUUUGGGCUUUAAUAUUACUACUGUGCUAUUUAGGUCCCAACCAUCCUAGCUAAUCUGGGCAUUCUUGAAACAGCUCUCAUUAUUGGUAUGUCAAACCGUCUCAUAGGGCAUGUACUUAACAAAAGUGGAGUGAAGGGUUCAGGAUGCAUAAAUGGGGUGAAGCUCGUGGUAUUCCAUUCCUUUUUACUGAAGCCACUCCUACCAGCUGCCUUCUAGAUUGUUCACCUUAUAUGAGCAUGGUGCAGUAUAGAAGUUGUAGACUUUGGCCUCAGACAGAUCUAAAUUCUAAUCUCAGAUCACUACUUCCUGGUUGAGGACAAGAUUUCUUUAACCACCCCAAGUCCCAAUUUUCUCAUGUCUAAAAUGGCAGAAAUAAUGUGUACUUUGCAGGGUUGUUGUGAGAGUUAAGUAAUAUGGGUAAUGCACUUGGGACAGUGCUUCACACAAAAUUGUCAGUAAAUGGUGAUCUUUCUUUUCCUGGCACUACAAAGCUGAGGAGAGGAGGGAGGGAGGGAGAUGAAUGUCUGGAGGAAGAAAGGGCAGGAGUUUCUUCAUCUUUGAGUGAAGGAGCAUUGAGGGUUAGCAGGGAUAUAGGAAUAGUGAGUUGGCUGGGAAGAAAAAAAGGAUUAAAAGAGGAAAAGAAUAGGAAAAAAGAAGGAUACCAUGGAGAAAAUGGGCAACGGCCCCAGAAAGAAGAGCAAGAAUGGCAGUGAUGGUGAGCAUUGCUGGAAUGAUGGAAGGUUCUCCGGCCCCGGUGAUGCGUGGGCACCACCGGAGAGCUUGUUAGAAAUGCAGAGUCUCUGUCCCUCCCCAGACCCUCUGAAUCAUAAUUUGCAAUUUAAUGAGAGGUCCCCAGGUGAUUCCCAUAUCCAUUAAUUCUGCAGAGUUGAUGUUUUC
rnacentral:lncRNA from 1 species